rnacentral:rRNA from 1 species
GACGAACGCUGGCGGCGUGCUUAACACAUGCAAGUCGAACGGAAAGGCCCUGCUUGCAGGGUGCUCGAGUGGCGAACGGGUGAGUAACACGUGGGUGAUCUGCCCCUUACUUUGGGAUAAGCCUGGGAAACUGGGUCUAAUACUGGAUAGGACCAUGCUGUAGGUGGUGUGGUGGAAAGAUUUUUUCGGUAAGGGAUGAGCUCGCGGCCUAUCAGCUUGUUGGUGGGGUAAUGGCCUACCAAGGCGUCGACGGGUAGCCGGCCUGAGAGGGUGGACGGCCACAUUGGGACUGAGAUACGGCCCAGACUCCUACGGGAGGCAGCAGUGGGGAAUAUUGCACAAUGGGCGCAAGCCUGAUGCAGCGACGCUGCGUGGGGGAUGACGGCCUUCGGGUUGUAAACUCCUUUCAGCCAUGACGAAGCCUCUUUUGGGGUGACGGUAGUGGUAGAAGAAGCACCGGCUAACUACGUG